UACGGAGGGUGCAAGCGUUAUCCGGAUUUACUGGGUUUAAAGGGUGCGUAGGUGGGUCUGUAAGUCAGUGGUGAAAUCUCCGGGCUUAACCCGGAAACUGCCAUUGAUACUAUAGGUCUUGAAUAUCCUGGAGGUGAGCGGAAUAUGUCAUGUAGCGGUGAAAUGCUUAGAUAUGACAUAGAACACCAAUUGCGUAGGCAGCUUACUACACGAUCAUUGACGCUGAGGCACGAAAGCGUGGGGAGCAAACAGG
rnacentral:rRNA from 1 species